UGCGGAAUAUUGCACAAUGGGGGAAACCCUGAUGCAGCGACGCCGCGUGAACGAAGAAGGUAUUCGUAUCGUAAAGUUCUGUCCUAUGGGAAGAUAAUGACAGUACCAUAGAAGAAAGCUCCGGCUAAAUACGUGCCAGCAGCCGCGGUAAUACGUAUGGAGCGAGCGUUGUCCGGAAUUAUUGGGCGUAAAGGGUACGCAGGCGGUUUAAUAAGUCGAAUGUUAAAGAUCGGGGCUCAACCCCGCAAAGCAUUGGAAACUGAUAAACUUGAGUAGUGGAGAGGAAAGUGGAAUUCCUAGUGUAGUGGUGAAAUACGUAGAUAUUAGGAGGAGUACCAGUAGCGAAGGCGACUUUCUGGACACAAACUGACGCUGAGGUACAAAAGCGUGGGGAGCAAACAGG
rnacentral:rRNA from 1 species